GUCGCCAUUACCUUCAUAAUUGCUACUGUAUUUCCGACUGGUAUUGUUGCAAAUUAAUUUAUGCAAACAAAACAAACGUGUCGAGCAAACAACGUGCAAAUUUUGAGCCCUGAUUUUCAUAACAAAACUAGCCAAGAAAAGCCGUAAAAUUAUACAUUUUUUUCAUAGAAAAUCUAUAUUUUUCUUUCAGGGAUAUUUCAUGCAUAUUCCGUGAAACGUCUUGAAGAAUUUUACUAUUUCUUUCUCAGAAAUUUCUUACUGUCAAAAAUUUUUUUAGAGGCAAACACGUGUACUUGUUUCCACUUAGGAAAAUUACUGUAAAGUCAUCUGCAUAAAACUGUCUGUAUUUACUAUUUACCAGUAAAAAAUAGACUAGAGUUCGCUCUAGGUUCUAUGCAUUUUUUUAGAGGAAUUUACUUAGUACAAGACUACAAAAGGACGUACGUGUUUUAACCAAAAUUCCCAUUUCGGUUUUCC
rnacentral:lncRNA from 1 species